GAUGAAGAACGCAGUGAAAUGCGAUACGUAAUGUGAAUUGCAGAAAUCAGUGAAUCAUCGAAUCUUUGAACGCAUAUUGCGCUCUCUGGUAUUCCGGAGAGCAUGCUUGUUUGAGUAUCAGUAAACACCUCAACUCCCCUUUCUUUUUUUGAAAUGGGAGCUGGACUUGAGUGAUCCCAACGCUUUUCUCACCGAAAAGUGGCGGGUUACUUGAAAUGCAGGUGCAGCUGGACUUUUCUCUGAGCUAAAAGCAUAUCUAUUUAGUCUGCCUAAAAAACAGAUUAUUACCUUUGCUGCAGCUAACAUAAAGGAGAUUAGUUCUUGUGCUGACUGAUGCAGGAUUCACAGAGACAGCUUCGGCUGGCCUUUGUAAACUCGAUCUCAAAUCAAGUAAGACUACCCGCUGAACUUAAGCAUAUCAAUAAGCGGAGGA
rnacentral:misc_RNA from 1 species